rnacentral:tRNA from 1 species
CAGGGCGUAGCUACAACACCAAAGCACUCAGCUUACACCUGAGAGAUGUCUGUCCAACCAGAUCACCCUGA